UUUUAUGACGCUGGCGGCAGGCUUAACACAUGCAAGUCGAGCGGAAACGAUGGUAGCUUGCUACCAGGCGUCGAGCGGCGGACGGGUGAGUAAUACUUAGGAAUCUACCUAGUAGUGGGGGAUAGCACGGGGAAACUCGUAUUAAUACCGCAUACGACCUACGGGAGAAAGGGGGCAGUUUACUGCUCUCGCUAUUAGAUGAGCCUAAGUCGGAUUAGCUAGAUGGUGGGGUAAAGGCCUACCAUGGCGACGAUCUGUAGCUGGUCUGAGAGGAUGAUCAGCCACACCGGGACUGAGACACGGCCCGGACUCCUACGGGAGGCAAGCAAGUGGGGAAUAUUGGACAAUGGGGGAAACCCUGAUCCAGCCAUGCCGCGUGUGUGAAGAAGGCUUUUGGGUUGUAAAGCACUUUAACCAGUGAAAAAAACUCCGUGGUUAAUACCCCCGGACGAUACCUUUACUUGCAAAAAAGCCCCCGGUUAAUUUUUGGCCAGCAGCCCGGGUAAUCAAAGGGGGCAAGCCUUAAUUGGAAAUUCC
rnacentral:rRNA from 1 species